GAGUUUGAUCCUGGCUCAGAACGAACGCUGGCGGCAGGCUUAACACAUGCAAGUCGAGCGCCCCGCAAGGGGAGCGGCAGACGGGUGAGUAACGCGUGGGAAUCUACCCUUUUCUACRGAAUAACGCAGGGAAACUUGUGCUAAUACCGUAUAAGCCCUUCGGGGGAAAGAUUUAUCGGGAAAGGAUGAGCCCGCGUUGGAUUAGCUAGUUGGUGGGGUAAAGGCCUACCAAGGCGACGAUCCAUAGCUGGUCUGAGAGGAUGAUCAGCCACAUUGGGACUGAGACACGGCCCAAACUCCUACGGGAGGCAGCAGUGGGGAAUAUUGGACAAUGGGCGCAAGCCUGAUCCAGCCAUGCCGCGUGAGUGAUGAAGGCCCUAGGGUUGUAAAGCUCUUU
rnacentral:rRNA from 1 species